GACGAACGCUGGCGGCGUGCUUAACACAUGCAAGUCGAACGGAAAGGCCCUGCUUUUGUGGGGUGCUCGAGUGGCGAACGGGUGAGUAACACGUGAGUAACCUGCCCUUGUCUUUGGGAUAACUCCAGGAAACUGGGGCUAAUACCGGAUAGGAGCUCCUGCUGCACGGUGGGGGUUGGAAAGUUUCGGCGGUGGUGGAUGUACUCGCGGCUUACCAGCUUGUUGGUGGGGUAGUGGCUUACAAAGGCUUUGACGGGUAGCCGGCAUGGGAGGGUGACCGGCCACAUUGGGACUGAGAUACGGCCCAGAAUCCUACGGGAGGCAGCAGUGGGGAAUAUUGCACAAUGGGCGGAAGCCUGAUGUAGCAACGCCGCGUGCGGGAUGAAGGCCUUCGGGUUGUAAACCGCUUUCGCCUGUGACGAAGCGUGAGUGACGGUAAUGGGUAAAGAAGCACCGGCUAACUACGUG
rnacentral:rRNA from 1 species